UACGUAGGGGGCAAGCGUUGUCCGGAAUCAUUGGGCGUAAAGCGCGCGUAGGCGGCCUCAUAAGUCCGUUGUGAAAGUCAAAGGCUCAACCUUUGAAAGCCGAUGGAUACUGUGAGGCUAGAGUCCGGAAGAGGCGGGUGGAAUUCCUGGUGUAGCGGUGGAAUGCGUAGAUAUCGGGAGGAACACCUGUGGCGAAAGCGGCUCACUGGACCACAACUGACGCUGAGGCGCGAAAGCGUGGGGAGCAAACAGG
rnacentral:rRNA from 1 species